rnacentral:lncRNA from 1 species
UUUUUUGUUUUGAUUUUAAGGUAAAACCCGAUUUCCAUAGGCCCGCGUCCUUGAGGAAGCCGAAACGCACCGUUUCCUUAAACGGUGCGUUUUGGCUGUUGCUGCACCAAAAGAAGAGGUAUAAAUACCUCUUAUUCUUCGCACAAAAAAUCUUCUCCGCAAAAAAAGGUGUUUCCUUAGUCGGGUUUUCUUGCUCUCCAGCUUUCUUCUUCUCGCGCAGACACCAGAAACCUAGGGUUUCUGCAUUUCGUUUUUAUUUGCUUUGCAGAUAUUUAUCUUGGAUAUCACAUGAAGGCACAUCGACGAGUCUUUUCUGCAACGGAGUAAAGGUAUUUAUGCAUUGAUUUCUUUGUAGUUUAUAGAAGUAAGGUAUUGUUGUUAGAGAACUAGGGAUUCAUUGAUUUUCUGUGGUGGGCAAAGAGGAGGAAGAACUUCAUUUUGUAACACCAACCAAUGUCAAAAUACUCUGUCAAUCUCUUCUGUGCGUGUGUGUGUGUAAUGGCGGCGAAGAAGACAGACGGAGACUUCUCUUUAUCCUCAGUCGGCUUAUACGUGAUUCAGUCUCUC